rnacentral:rRNA from 1 species
AUUGAACGCUAGCGGCAGGCCUAACACAUGCAAGUCGAACGAGUGGCGGACGGGUGAGUAAUGUCUGGUAAACUGCCUGAUGGAGGGGGAUACCUACUGGAAACGGUAGCUAAUACCGCAUACCAUCAGAUGUGCCCAGAUGGGAUUAGCUAGUUGGUGGGGUAACGGCUCACCAAGGCGACGAUCACUAGCUGGUCUGAGAGGAUGACCAGGAACACUGGAACGGAGACAGUGUCCAGACGCAUACGGGAGGCAGCAGUGGGGAAUAUUGCACAAUGGGCGCAAGCCUGAUGCAGCCAUGCCGCGUGUAUGAAGAAGGCCUUCGGGUUGUAAAGUACGUUCAGCGGGGAGGCGUUACCCGCAGAAGAAGCACCGGCUAACUCGGUGCCAGCCGCCGCGGUAAUAC